GCUGUUGGGAUAGCUCGGUUGGUACAGCAUGAAACUCAAUCUCAAGGUUGUGGGUUCAAGUCCCACGUUGGGCA